AGGUACGAAUUGAAGCCCCAGUAAACGGCGGCCGUAACUAUAACGGUCCUAAGGUAGCGAAAUUCCUUGUCGGGUAAGUUCCGACCCGCACGAAAGGCGCAACGAUCUGGGCACUGUCUCAACGAGAGACUCGGUGAAAUUAUAGUACCUGUGAAGAUGCAGGUUACCCGCGACAGGACGGAAAGACCCCGUGGAGCUUUACUGCAACCUGAUAUGGAAUGUUUGUACCGCUUGUACAGGAUAGGUAGGAGCCGAAGAGACGUGUGCGCUAGCAUACGAGGAGGCAAUGGUGGGAUACUACCCUGGCUGUAUGACCAUUCUAACCCGCCACGCUUAGCGCGUGGGGAGACAGUGUCAGGUGGGCAGUUUGACUGGGGCGGUCGCCUCCUAAAGAGU
rnacentral:rRNA from 1 species